rnacentral:rRNA from 1 species
AGUGAACGCUGGCGGUAGGCCUAACACAUGCAAGUCGAACGGCAGCACAGUAAGAGCUUGCUCUUACGGGUGGCGAGUGGCGGACGGGCGAGGAAUACAUCGGAAUCUACUUUUUCGUGGGGGAUAACGUAGGGAAACUUACGCUAAUACCGCAUACGACCUACGGGUGAAAGCAGGGGAUCUUCGGACCUUGCGCGAUUGAAUGAGCCGAUGUCGGAUUAGCUAGUUGGCGGGGUAAAGGCCCACCAAGGCGACGAUCCGUAGCUGGUCUGAGAGGAUGAUCAGCCACACUGGAACUGAGACACGGUCCAGACUCCCACGGGAGGCAGCAGUGGGGAAUAUUGGACAAUGGGCGCAAGCCUGAUCCAGCCAUACCGCGUGGGUGAAGAAGGCCUUCGGGUUGUAAAGCCCUUUUGUUGGGAAAGAAAAGCAGCAGGUUAAUACCCCGCUGUUCUGACGGUACCCAAAGAAUAAGCACCGGCUAACUUCGUG